rnacentral:lncRNA from 1 species
UCUUAUAUUCUUGUGUGUUCAACAGCAUUGUAGUAACCAAGCAGACACAGACCUACCUAGUGUGAUGACUUGUGCAAAUUACCUUAAGCUACCUCCGUAUUCGUCAAAAGAAAGGAUGAAAGAGAAGCUCUUGUAUGCCAUAACAGAGGGUCAAGGAUCUUUCCACCUUUCAUGACUUCAUUCUCUUGACUGAAUCAGCUUAUUUGGAUUUUGAAGGUGUAAUUAUUAGGGUGAUUGGUAGCAAUGUAGAUAAGGGUAUUUAACUAGUUGCUAGCAGUGCUGAUCACAGCAAGUUACUUUCUUGGGGACAAAGCUUUCUGUCUUCACUGACUACAAUUGUUGGGGGGUGUAUAUAGCCUGCUGAAUGCUGAUGGUUAGCUGUUUUUUGGAUUGUGUCCGCUGUAUAGAAACAAACGGAGUGCAAUUUAAUUAGUCAUGCUUUUUGAUAUUUUUUGUACAGUAUUUAGUAUUGGGACCUUAAUGAUUAAUAGCCGUUUACCUGGUAGCUUUGUUCCCUUUGGUACAUCUGCUGUUACUUUAUUAUAUAUGAUAUUAUUUUCGAUUCGAUGAAAUUUCAUUCUACCUUUUUACUGAUGUAUUUAUGGAUUGUGACUGC